AAGCAUAUCAAUAAGCGGAGGAAAAGAAACCAACUGGGAUUGCCUUAGUAACGGCGAGUGAAGCGGCAAUAGCUCAAAUUUGAAAGCUGGCUCCUUAGGAGUCCGCGUUGUAAUUUGUAGAGGAUGCUUCGGCGAGGGCUCCCGCCUAAGUCCCCUGGAACGGGGCGUCAUAGAGGGUGAGAAUCCCGUAUGCGGUGGGUUGCCUUAGCCAUGUGAAGCUCCUUCGACGAGUCGAGUUGUUUGGGAAUGCAGCUCUAAAUGGGAGGUAAAUUUCUUCUAAAGCUAAAUACCGGCCAGAGACCGAUAGCGCACAAGUAGAGUGAUCGAAAGAUGAAAAGCACUUUGGAAAGAGAGUUAAAAAGUACGUGAAAUUGUUGAAAGGGAAGCGCUUGCAGCCAGACUUGUCCGCAGUUGCUCAGCCGGUCUCCUGACCGGUGUACUCUUCUGCGGCCAGGCCAGCAUCAGUUCGGGCGGUCGGAUAAAGGUUCUGGGAAUGUGGCUCCUCUCGGGGAGUGUUAUAGCCCAGUUCGCAAUGCGGCCAGCCUGGACUGAGGAUCUCGCUUCGGCUAGGAUGCUGGCGUAAUGGCUGUAAGCGGCCCGUCUUGAAACACGGACCAAGGAGUCUAACAUCUAUGCGAGUGUUUGGGUGUCAAACCCAUGCGCGUAAUGAAAGUGAACGGAGGUGGGAACCCUCACGGGUGCACCAUCGACCGAUCCUGAUGUCUUCGGAUGGAUUUGAGUAAGAGCAUAGCUGUUGGGACCCGAAAGAUGGUGAACUAUGCCUGAAUAGGGUGAAGCCAGAGGAAACUCUGGUGGAGGCUCGCAGCGGUUCUGACGUGCAAAUCGAUCGUCAAAUUUGGGUAUAGGGGCGAAAGACUAAUCGAACCAUC
rnacentral:rRNA from 1 species